rnacentral:rRNA from 1 species
CAACCUGCCUAUAACUAGGGAAUAACCUUGCGAAAGUAAGACUAAUACCCUAUGAUUUCCUUUGAUGACAUCAGAUUAGGAAUAAAGAUUUAUCGGUUAUAGAUGGGGAUGCGUCUGAUUAGCUUGUUGGCGGGGUAACGGCCCACCAAGGCAACGAUCAGUAGGGGUUCUGAGAGGAAGGUCCCCCACAUUGGAACUGAGGCACGGUCCAAACUCCUACGGGAGGCAGCAGUGAGGAAUAUUGGUCAAUGGGCGGAAGCCUGAACCAGCCAAGUAGCGUGCAGGAUGACGGCCCUAUGGGUUGUAAACUGCUUUUAUACAGGAAUAAAGUUAGCCACGUGUGGUUAUUCGUAGGUACCGUAUGAAUAAGGACCGGCUAAUUCCGUGCCAGCAGCCGCGGUAAUACGGAAGGUCCAGGCGUUAUCCGGAUUUAUUGGGUUUAAAGGGAGCGUAGGCCGUCUGUUAAGCGUGUUGUGAAAUGUAGAUGCUCNACAUCUGAAUUGCAGCGCGAACUGGCGGACUUGAGUGUGCGCAGCGUAGGCGGAAUUCGUGGUGUAGCGGUGAAAUGCUUAGAUAUCNCGAAGAACUCCNAUUG